UACGUAGGGCGCAAGCGUUGUCCGGAAUUAUUGGGCGUAAAGAGCUCGUAGGCGGUUUUGUCGCGUCUGCUGUGAAAACCUAAGGCUCAACCUUGGGCUUGCAGUGGGUACGGGCAGACUAGAGUGCGGUAGGGGGUGACUGGAAUUCCUGGGUGUAGCGGUGGAAUGCGCAGAUAUCAGGAGGAAACACCCGAUGGCGA
rnacentral:rRNA from 1 species